GUCCUCUUGGAAAAAUUGAGAGGUCUGUCCUGCCCGCUGAGUGAAUUUUGAAGGGCCGCGGUAUUAUGACCGUGCGAAGGUAGCAUAGUCAAUAGUCUCUUAAUUGGAGGCUGGAAUGAACGGUUGGACGGGAAGAAGACUGUCUCGCUCGUUAAGGUGAAUUUGACUUUUGUGUGAAAAGGCAUAAAUAAUUUGGGGGGACGAUAAGACCCUAUAAAACUUGAUAAUUUGAUUGGUUAUAUGAAUUGUGUAUGAUAUGUGUUUGGGUAAAGUUAUUUUGCUGGGGAGGCAGGGAUAAAAAUUUAUUAACUGUUUUAUAAUAAGAAUAAUAGAUUAUUAGAUGGUGACCCCUAAUUUAGGUUUAAAAGUUUAAGUUACUUUAGGGAUAACAGCGUAAUUUCUCUUGAGAGUUCAUAUCGACAGAGAUAGUUGCGACCUCGAUGUUGAAUUAAAACUUCCGGCAGGAGUAGAGGUUUGCUGGGUAGGUCUGUUCGACCUUUAAAGUUUUACAUGAUUUGAGUUCAAACCGGUGUGAG
rnacentral:rRNA from 1 species